AGGUCAUUUUGAGGAUAAUUUAUUAAUAAUCCUUUUUAGCGCUCCCAUGCCUCAUAAAGUGACUCACUCGGUUGUUGCUCAAAGUUGGUUGUUGCCUUUUUUAGUUU